UACGGAGGGGGCUAGCGUUGUUCGGAAUUACUGGGCGUAAAGGGCGUGUAGGCGGCGCGGUAAGUCAGGCGUGAAAGCCCCGGGCUCAACCUGGGAAAUGCGCUUGUUACUGCCGUGCUUGAGUCCGGGAGAGGAUAGCGGAAUUCCCAGUGUAGAGGUGAAAUUCGUAGAUAUUGGGAAGAACACCAGUGGCGAAGGCGACUAUCUGGACCGGUACUGACGCUGAGGCGCGAAAGCGUGGGGAGCAAACAGG
rnacentral:rRNA from 1 species